AUAGUGUUUGUUGCCCUCUUCCCUCAUUCGGUGAAACUAUGAUUUUAUCUGGAGUUGAGACCUGAGUGAAGGGAUUAGGUGGAGCCCGUAGGAAUGAGAUGUGUGCCCUUAUAGGAAGUGGGCAAACAGCUGUACUCUGCAACCUAGAAGAGGGGCUUGCAGAACUCAUGUAAGACUCUGGGGAGCCUAAGCUUACCAGGGUCCCCCUGAGUGAACCACAUGGAGCCAGGAUCGAUGCAAAAAGCAAGAGAAAUUUAUUGUUCCAGUGCACUAGGGUCAUCUCAGACCCGAAGGAGAGGCAGUGACCCCCAGCACCCAUUUGGAGGGAGCUUUCCAUCAGAGAAUGAAACCGAUACAAAGGAAGACAGAGCUGAACUUUGAGAACAAGAAUGCAUGGAUGGCACAAUUUUAGGUCUAGAAAGAGCGUCAAGUGACAACAUCAGAGGCCUGGAUUUCCCAUUCAGACAAACCAGUACAUUCCCUUCCCUCUUCAGCUACUUGAAAGUAGAUAUAUUUCAUUUGCAAUUGAGUCCUAAAUAAUGAUAACUUUAUCUUAUAGGAGUA
ensembl:lincRNA Gm12514 predicted gene 12514